UGCUUUAGCUGGUCUCAUGUCAACUGCAGGAACGGGAAUGUCAUCUCCUUGAAUCUUGCUUCAAAUGGAUUUUCAGGAACUCUUUAGCCUUCGAUUAAGAAACUUAAGUUUCUGGUUAACUUGGAUUUACAAAACAAUAAUCUAACUGGUUUGUUGCCUGAUUUCCUUGGUGAUAUGGUGCACCUAGAAGUUCUGAAUCUUGCAAAUAAUAGAUUCAGUGGUUCCAUUCCAGAAAAUUGGGGUCAACUAUCU